GCCGAUGUAGCUCAGGGGUAGAGCAGUGCAUUCGUAAUGCACCGGUCGGGGGUUCAAAUCCCUUCAUCGGCUCCA
rnacentral:tRNA from 1 species